rnacentral:rRNA from 1 species
UCGAGGAUCUUCCGCAAUGGGCGAAAGCCUGACGGAGCGACACCGCGUGCAGGAUGAAGGCCUUCGGGUUGUAAACUGCUUUAGCGCCAUAGGAACUCCGCAAGGAUUGACUAAAGCGUAAAUAAGCAACGGCUAACUCUGUGCCAGCAGCCGCGGUAAGACAGAGGUUGCAAACGUUGUUCGGAAUCACUGGGCAUAAAGCGCACGUAGGCCGUCCUCUAAGUCCGAUGUGAAAGCCCCCAGCUUAACUGGGGAACUGCACCGGAUACUGGAGGACUCGAGGGUGGCAGGGGUGGGUGGAACUCCAGGUGGAGCGGUGAAAUGCGUAGAUAUCUGGAGGAACACCGGUGGCGAAGGCGACAUCCUGGACCAAUUCUGACGCUGAGGAGCGAAAGCC